AAUGCCGCGUGGGUGAAGAAGGCCUGCGGGUUGUAAAGCCCUUUCGGGGGGAGGAAGGCCCUUGUGCGAAGAGUGCAAGGGGAUGACGUUACCCCCAGAAGAAGCACCGGCUAACUCCGUGCCAGCAACUGCGGUGACUGAGCGGGCUGGCAAGGCGCAUA
rnacentral:rRNA from 1 species